AUUUGCUUAUGAAGAAUUGUCAUUGAGAGAAGUAUUGUUGAGACUAAGAUUAGAAUGUUGUGGAAUAUGACUUUGAACUGACCGUUUUGGAAAAAAUUUGUGACCUUUAGAAUUGAGAUUAUCGAAUUGUGUUGUGUUAAGUGAAGAUAUUGAAUUUUGUGUGAUGAAUUGAGAAACUGAAUAUAAUAAGUAAGUUGGAGAUCAGUAAUUGAAUAUAUAUAAACCGCAAAGAGAGUAAGUGAGAG
rnacentral:lncRNA from 1 species